UUAAAUCCUAUGAUAAGGAGUAGUAGUUAAAUCUAGUAUCGAUAAAGAGAGUUAAGAAAUGGUGGAAUCUUAGCACGAAUGAUUUUAUGAAUGGACCUUUGAGAAUAUGGGGAAAGCUUUUGUGAGUAUCCAUUUAUGGUGUCUGCACCUUACAGCAGUAUUUAAAGAGGUAUCAUAUUUGAAGUGUGAUACAAUUUAGGUGGUACCGCGGAUAUAUGUCCGUCCUAUAU
rnacentral:ncRNA from 1 species